rnacentral:rRNA from 1 species
AUUUAACGCUUGCGGCAGGCCUAACACAUGCCAGUCGAGCGCGCGGCGGACGGGUGUGCAAUGUAUGGGGAUCUGCCCGAUAGAGUGGGAUAACUCCUGGAAACGUCGUCUAACACCGCAUCCUAUCGGAUUAACCCAUAUGGGAUGAGCUAGUAGGUGGGGUAAAGGCUCACCUAGGCGACGAUCCCUAGCUGGUCUGAGAGGAUGAUCAGCCACACUGGAACUGAGACACGGCCCAGACUCCUACGGGAGGCAGCAGUGGGGAAUAUUGCACAAUGGGAGCAAGCCUGAUGCAGCCAUGCCGCGUGUAUGAAGAAGGCCUUAGGGUUGUAAAGUACUUUCAGCGGGGAGGCGUUACCCGCAGAAGAAGCACCGGCUAACUCCGUGCCAGCAGCCGCGGUAAUUC